rnacentral:rRNA from 1 species
AACGAACGCUGGCGGCAGGCUUAACACAUGCAAGUCGAGCGAGACCUUCGGGUCUAGCGGCGGCCGGGUGAGUAACGCGUGGAAACGUGCCCUUCUCUACGGAAUAGCCCCGGGAAACUGGGAGUAAUACCGUAUACGCCCUUUGGGGGAAAGAUUUAUCGGAGAAGGAUCGGCCCGCGUUGGAUUAGGUAGUUGGUGGGGUAAUGGCCCACCAAGCCGACGAUCCAUAGCUGGUUUGAGAGGAUGAUCAGCCACACUGGGACUGAGACACGGCCCAGACUCCUACGGGAGGCAGCAGUGGGGAAUCUUAGACAAUGGCGGCAACCAUGAUCGAGCCAUGCCGGGUGAGUGAUGAAGGCCGUAGGGUUGUAAAGCUCUUUCAGCUGGGAAGAUAAUGACGGUACCAGCAGAAGAAGCCCCGGCUAACUCCGUG